UACAGAGGUCUCAAGCGUUGUUCGGAUUCAUUGGGCGUAAAGGGUGCGUAGGUGGCGCUGUAAGUCAGGUGUGAAAUUUCGGAGCUUAACUCCGAAACUGCAUUUGAUACUGCGGUGCUCGAGGACUGGAGAGGAGACUGGAAUUUACGGUGUAGCAGUGAAAUGCGUAGAGAUCGUAAGGAAGACCAGUGGCGAAGGCGGCCCACUGGAUCGGUACUGACGCUGAGGUGCGAAAGCGUGGGGAGCAAACAGG
rnacentral:rRNA from 1 species